rnacentral:rRNA from 1 species
CAGUAGCCACGGUAAUACGAAGGGUGCGAGCGUUAAUCGGAAUUACUGGGCGUAAAGCGUGCGCAGGCGGUUUUGUAAGACAGGCGUGAAAUCCCCGGGCUCAACCUGGGAAUGGCGCUUGUGACUGCAAAGCUAGAGUGCGGCAGAGGGGGAUGGAAUUCCGCGUGUAGCAGUGAAAUGCGUAGAUAUGCGGAGGAACACCGAUGGCGAAGGCAAUCCCCUGGGCCUGCACUGACGCUCAUGCACGAAAGCGUGGGGAGCAAACAGGAUUAGAUACCCGCGUAGUCCCUGUCUCUUAUAC